rnacentral:rRNA from 1 species
UACGUAGGGACCAAGCGUUGUUCGGAUUUACUGGGCGUAAAGGGCGCGUAGGCGGCGAAUCAAGUCAGUUGUGAAAUCUCCGAGCUUAACUCGGAACGGUCAACUGAUACUGUUUUGCUAGAGUGCAGAAAGGGCAACCGGAAUUCUUGGUGUAGCGGUGAAAUGCGUAGAUAUCAAGAGGAACACCUGAGGCGAAGGCGGGUUGCUAGGCUGACACUGACGCUGAAGCGCGAAAGCUAGGGGAGCAAACAGG